UGGUUCACAAGAGAGCUAAAAUCACUCUUUGAAUCGUCAUCUUUGUAACGAGUAUGAUAUUUAAUGACCUUGACAGUAGCUAUAUUGUAUAUAUUCGAUCUCCUAAUCAUAUUCUUUCAUCUAAUGCCUGUUUUGUGUGUGUUCCACAAAGAUAAACCAAACUGCUUAUAUAUGUAAUCAAUGACUCCAAAUUGCUUAUAAAUCUAUUGUAUGCUGAGCUUGAUGCACGCGUACCUUCAAAAUCUAAUCACAUAUUUACUGUAUGUGCUUUAGGAAAAUCAGAUUACAAAAAAUACGAGCUUCAUCUUCUCCAACUAAAUGUAUUUCAUCGGUUUCUCAUUUGAAUUGUGAAUAUCAUUUAUUGAACAGGAAUGUUGAGUCUCCAAAUCAAAGAUAUUUGAGAGAAAUCGUAGUGAUUGGAAAGAGGAUAGGAAAUCAG
rnacentral:lncRNA from 1 species